rnacentral:rRNA from 1 species
AGCCGCGGUAAUACCCGCGGCCCGAGUGGUGGUCGAUAUUAUUGAGCCUAAAACGUUCGUAGCCGGUCUUGUAAAUCCUUGGGUAAAUCGGCCAGCUUAACUGUCCGAAGUCCGGGGAGACUGCAAGACUUGGGAUCGGGAGAGGUCAGAGGUACUUCUGGGGUAGGGGUAAAAUCCUGUAAUCCUAGAAGGACCACCGGUGGCGAAGGCGUCUGACUAGAACGAAUUCGACGGUGAGGAACGAAGCCCUGGGGCGCAAACGGGAUUAGAUACCCCGGUAGUCCAGGGUGUAAACGCUGCGGGCUUGGUGUUGGGGGUCCUUAGUGGGCGCCCAGUGCCGGAGAGAAGUUGUUAAGCCUGCUGCUUGGGGAGUAUGUCCGCAAGGAUGAAACUUAAAGGAAUUGGCGGGGGAGCACCGCAACGGGAGGAGCGUGCGGUUCAAUUGGAUUCAACACCGGACAACUCACCAGGAGCGACUAUUACAUGAAGACCAGGCUGAUGACCUUGUCUGAUUUUUAGAGAGGUGGUGCAUGGCC